rnacentral:rRNA from 1 species
UACGGGAGGCAGCACUGGGGAAUAUUGCACAAUGGGCGAAAGCCUGAUGCAGCUAUGCCGCGUGUAUGAAGAAGGCCUUAGGGUUGUAAAGUACUUUCAUCGGGGAGGAAAAACAAAACUAAUAAUUUUAUUUCUUGACGUUACCCGAAAAAGAAGCACCGGCUAACUCCGUGCCAGCAGCCGCGGUAAUACGGAGGGUGCUAGCGUUAAUCAGAAUUACUGGGCGUAAAGAGCACGUAGGUGGUUUUUUAAGUCAGAUGUGAAAUCCCUGGGCUUAACCUAGGAACUGCAUUUUGAAACUGAAAUACUAGAGUAUCGUAGAGGGAGGUAGAAUUCUAGGUGUAGCGGUGAAAUGCGUAGAUAUCUGGAGGAAUACCUGUGGCGAAAGCGGCCUCCUAAACGAAUACUGACACUGAGGUGCGAAAGCGUGGGGAGCAAACAGGGAUUAGAUACC